UACGUAGGUGGCAAGCGUUGUCCGGAAUUAUUGGGCGUAAAGCGCGCGCAGGCGGUUUCUUAAGUCUGAUGUGAAAGCCCCCGGCUCAACCGGGGAGGGUCAUUGGAAACUGGGAGACUUGAGUGCAGAAGAGGAUAGUGGAAUUCCAAGUGUAGCGGUGAAAUGCGUAGAGAUUUGGAGGAACACCAGUGGCGAAGGCGACUGUCUGGUCUGUAACUGACACUGAGGCGCGAAAGCGUGGGGAGCAAACAGG
rnacentral:rRNA from 1 species